CCCUUAGAUGUCCGGGGCCGCACGCGCGCUACACUGAAGGAAUCAGCGUGGCUUUCUCCCUGACCCGAAAGGGUUGGGAAACCCGUUGAAUCUCCUUCGAGAUAGGGAUUGGGGCUUGAAAUUGUUCCCCAUGAACGAGGAAUUCCCAGUAAGCGCGAGUCAUAAGCUCGCGUUGAUUACGUCCCUGCCCUUUGUACACACCGCCCGUCGCUACUACCGAUUGAACGGUUUAGUGAGGGCCUCGGAUUGGUCUCGGCCCGCUCUUUACCGGGCGGCGCCGUUGGUCGAGAAGACGCUCGAACUUGAUCGUUUAGAGGAAGUAAAAGUCGUAACA
rnacentral:rRNA from 1 species